UGGGGAAUAUUGGGCAAUGGGCGCAAGCCUGACCCAGCAACGCCGCGUGAAGGAAGAAGGCCUUCGGGUUGUAAACUUCUUUUAUGAGGGACGAAGGACGUGACGGUACCUCAUGAAUAAGCCACGGCUAACUACGUGCCAGCAGCCGCGGUAAUACGUAGGUGGCAAGCGUUGUCCGGAUUUACUGGGUGUAAAGGGCGCGUAGGCGGGUGUGCAAGUCAGAUGUGAAAUCCAUGGGCUCAACCCAUGAACUGCAUUUGAAACUGUAUAUCUUGAGUGUCGGAGAGGCAAGCGGAAUUCCUAGUGUAGCGGUGAAAUGCGUAGAUAUUAGGAGGAACACCAGUGGCGAAGGCGGCUUGCUGGACGAU
rnacentral:rRNA from 1 species